AUUGCUUCUGAGCCUUGCUAAGAUCAAGUGUAGCAUAUGUUCUUAUCAGUUUAAUAUCUGAUGCAUCUUCUGUCUGAGGAAAAUAUAUUAAAUGGAUUUCUGGAAGAGGGAGAUAGAAUAGAAGCUUGCCCUAUCUGCUCCAUGCAUCGACUUGGUGUUGCACUACCUCCAGGAAUGGUGCACCCCUU
rnacentral:snRNA from 1 species